CAGAGAUGCUUUGGUGCCUUCGGGAACUCUGAGACAGGUGCUGCAUGGCUGUCGUCAGCUCGUGUUGUGAAAUGUUGGGUUAAGUCCCGCAACGAGCGCAACCCUUAUCCUUUGUUGCCAGCGAUUCGGUCGGGAACUCAAAGGAGACUGCCAGUGAUAAACUGGAGGAAGGUGGGGAUGACGUCAAGUCAUCAUGGCCCUUACGAGUAGGGCUACACACGUGCUACAAUGGCGCAUACAAAGAGAAGCGACCUCGCGAGAGCAAGCGGACCUCAUAAAGUGCGUCGUAGUCCGGAUUGGAGUCUGCAACUCGACUCCAUGAAGUCGGAAUCGCUAGUAAUCGUAGAUCAGAAUGCUACGGUGAAUACGUUCCCGGGCCUUGUACACACCGCCCGUCACACCAUGGGAGUGGGUUGCAAAAGAAGUAGGUAGCUUAACUUUCGGGAGGGCGCUUACCACUUUGUGAUUCAUGACUGGGGUGAAGUCGUAACAAGGUAGGCGUAGUGCU
rnacentral:rRNA from 1 species